rnacentral:rRNA from 1 species
CCUACGGGAGGCAGCAGUGAGGAAUAUUGGUCAAUGGACGAGAGUCUGAACCAGCCAAGUAGCGUGAAGGAUGACUGCCCUAUGGGUUGUAAACUUCUUUUAUAUGGGAAUAAAAUGUGCCACGUGUGGGCUUUUGUAUGUACCAUAUGAAUAAGGAUCGGCUAACUCCGUGCCAGCAGCCGCGGUAAUACGGAGGAUCCGAGCGUUAUCCGGAUUUAUUGGGUUUAAAGGGAGCGUAGGUGGAUUGUUAAGUCAGUUGUGAAAGUUUGCGGCUCAACCGUAAAAUUGCAGUUGAAACUGGCAGUCUUGAGUACAGUAGAGGUGGGCGGAAUUCGUGGUGUAGCGGUGAAAUGCUUAGAUAUCACGAAGAACUCCGAUUGCGAAGGCAGCUCACUGGACUGCAACUGACACUGAUGCUCGAAAGUGUGGGUAUCAAACAGGAUUAGAUACCCGUGUAGUC